AAUGAACGUUGGCGGUGUGCUUAACCCAUGCAAGUCGAACGAGAAAGUUCUUCGGAAUGAGUAUAGUGGCGAACGGGUGAGUAACGCGUGAGGAUCUCCCCUUCAGUGAAGGAUACCCUUGAGAAAUUAAGGUUAAUACUGCAUACGUCCAUCAUUAACAUGAUGGAGAAAGAUGGCCUCUUGCUGUCGCUGAAAGAUGAACUUGCGUUCUAUUAGCUAGUUGGUGGGGUAAAGGCUCACCAAGGCGAUGAUGGAUAGCCGGCCUGAGAGGGUGAACGGCCACAUUGGAACUGAGAAACGGUCCAGACUCCUACGGGAGGCAGCUGUGAGGAAUAUUGCACAAUGGGCGAAAGCCUGAUGCAGCGACACCGCGUGAAGGAUGAAGGUCUUAGGAUUGUAAACUUCUGUUAAGUGGGAAAAAAGACUCGCUUCUAAUAAAAGCGAGGGAUGAUGGUACCACUAGAAAAAGCACCGGCUAACUUCGUGCCAGCAGCCGCGGUAAUACAUACGUGGCGAGCGUUACUCGGAAUUACUAGGCGUAAAGCGCAUGUUCGUGGUCAGACAAGUCUAUGGUGAAAUUUCCCGGCUUACCUGCGAGGGGGCCAUGGGAAACUAUCUGGCUUGUAUGUGGCAAGCGGAGGCGGAAUUCCCCGUGUAUCGGCGAAAUGCGUUUAUUUCCGGCAGAACACCCAUGUCGCAGAGGGGUCUAUCGGGCCAUAGUUAAUCUGUUUGUGCCAAUCUUAGGGGGGCGGAUAGGAUUGGAUACCCUUGCGAUUCCUCUUUCCACACGGCUGUCUGCCGUAGUCGGGGGAGGUGAGCCCCUCUUGGUUCCACGCCCACUUACCUAAAGAACCACCGUGGGAGGG
rnacentral:rRNA from 1 species